GUGAGCUCCCGUUCCUGGGAACUCUGGUCGUACCAGGGAGAGCCUCUUGGCAGGCAUAUAGCCUUUGUGUCCCCUGCCUCUCUAAGAAACCCCCUCCCCGCCCACGAUUGCAGGUGCACGUUGCUGUCCAGCUGGCCGCCACUGGACCUCCCUAGACCCCAGGCCAUUCACCGGGACACAGGCCAAAUCACCAGAGGCAACCAGCCUGCUCGAUGCUGGCAGGUGGACUACAUUGGGCCCUUGCCUCUUUCUAAUGGCUGCCAAUAUGCCCUUACUUGUGUGGACAUGUACACAGGACUCCUGCAGGCGUACCCCAGCACAAGGCAACACAAAGGACAACCAUAAGAGGCCUGGAACACCUCUGUGCUGUGUAUGAUGUGCCUGUCACAUUGACAGUGACCAAGGACAACGUCUGCCAACCUUUUCGCUGCUUGGGCACACACCGUUGCUGGCAUACAAAACCGCUCCAGCUGCUGGGUAUGCAGCCAGCUGCCUCUCUCUUCAACCACAGGCUUACCAUGGCUUCUCCAAGCUGCCCACACCUCUCACUGGAGAACCCCUCGAGAGUGGAGGAACACCACCCACUUUCCCAUUCCUACUCCCCUCCCGCCAAGUACCCUGUCCUUGCCCUCUUAUGCUGUCUCUCAAAAGUGUAUCUCCCAGCUUGUGCAUGAGCAGGUUAAUACAACCCCAGAGGUGUUGUGGUAUCUGGUUACAAUGCUCCUCUGUGUGUCUGGCUCAGGGACUCUGCGAAAGAAUGAUGUGAUAAGAUCGUGAGGGCCCUUCGGACACAUUAGGGGUGGAGUGUAGGGCCUGGGCCUUGCUUGCUCAGCAAGAACCCACAAGCCCAUUGCAUCCUUGUGUCCUUCUGGCUCCCCUCUGGGCAGGAUGUGUAGCAAUCCAGGGCCUGGCCAGCCCAGAUUCUACCUUAUCUCACUUCAGGAACAUCACAUCUUGAAGGGACACAGAGCCCCUCCACGUGAGCUCUGGUUCCUGGGAACUCUGGUCAUACCAAGGACAGCCUCUUGGCAGGCAUAUAGCCUUUGUAUCCCCUGAGUCUAUAAGAAACCCCCGCCCCGCCCGCAGUAGUGGGUGCACAUUGCUGUCCAGUCGGCGGCCACUGGAUUCCCUCGAAGUAACUCCCAAUAACCUGUAUGUCUCGUUUGAUGACUCUCGGUCUUUUCUUUGGUCUCUCCACAACCUAUCCCACACUGCUCACCCAACUGGACCUGCGGCCACAUAUAGAGAAAGGGUUUCUUUUAGGGGAGAGUAAAAUGUUCUAAAAUUAGAUUGUCAUGAUGGUUACACAACCCUGUGAAUAUAUUAAAAAAUAUUGAAUUAGGGGCUGGCCAGGUGGUGAAGCAGUUAAGUUUGUGCACUCUGCUUCGGUGGCCCAGGGUUCAAGAGUUCAGAUCCAAGGUGUGGACAUACACAUCACUCAUUAAGCCAUGCUGUGGCAGCGUCCCACAUACAAAAUAGAGGAAGAUUGGCACAGAUGUUAGCUCAACUACAAUCUUCCUCAUCAAAAAGAAAAAAAAUUAAAUUGUCACUUUGUAUAAAUUAUAUGGUAUGUGAAUUAAAUAUCAGUAAAGCUGUUUUUAAAAAAUUUUAUUCAUUCUAUGUUUAAGAGAACUAAAAUGUACUAAAAAUUAAAAAACAUAUAGUUAUUAACAACUCGAUAACAUGGUAAUGAAAUAUUUCAGAACUUAUGUCCUCUAUUAAAAAUAAUUGUUAUUAAUCACGAGAAGAGAAUUGUUUACCUAAUUGAUUUAGGAAGACCAUUUAUUUAAAAAAUACCAUGAUAUUUCAAUAUAAUACCGUCUGGUCUUUUUUUUAAAAAAAUGUAUUAUCAUGGAGACUGCCUUAU
rnacentral:lncRNA from 1 species